UCCCUGUUACCAGGGCAGUCUAGCUAGAGAAAUACAACUAACUAUAAGGGUUGCGCUCGUUAAAGGACUUAACCUAACAUCUCACGACACGAGCUGACGACGGCCAUGCAUCACCUGUCACUUGGUUCCAAAGGCACUCUCUCCUUUCGGAGAAAUUCCAAGGAUGUCAAGCCUGGGUAAGGUUCUUCGCUUACCAUCGAAUUAAACAACACGCUCCACCGCUUGUGCGGGUCCCCGUCAAUUCCUUUAUGUUUUAGUCUUGCGACCGUACUCCACAGGAGACUGCCGGGGUCAACUCGGAGGAAGGUGGGGAUGACGUCCCACAGAC
rnacentral:misc_RNA from 1 species